CAAGGCCAGGAUCCAUAGAAUGUGACCAGCUGUUUCAGUGGUUUUUUGUUACUAUUUGUGAAGUCUUCAUUCUUGUCAUCUCUAGCAGAAGAGUGGUGCCAGUUGCCAGAGGUUUGAGGAAAAAGAAGUCAUGGGAGAAUUUACAUUUCAGAAAAUUCCAUUCAUUGACUUAAUUAUUUCUGGGAAUUCAGAAAAGACCACCAUGAUCCUUUAGCCGUGAAAACACUUGGGCCAGUUUUGGAAAUGCUAGAAUCCUCCAGGAGAAGCUUUUGAGAAAUUCAGUACUGUGCAGUGUUGUAGCCCGAAUACUUUGCUGAGAAAGGGUUACUGAGAGAUCAUAUUCACAAAUCAACGUGCAAUAGUGAAAAAAGAUGGCAACGCUGAAGAACUUUACUGAAUAACCCAGUAUGGACCACGUAUUGCAAUAGGCACUUAAUUUCUCUCAAUCCUUUCGAUAUCUCCUUGAAAUAGGUACUAUUAGCCCUCAAUAUACAGAUAAGAAAACUGAGGCUGAGGUUUACACAGCCAGUGAGUGGGGCAGAC
rnacentral:lncRNA from 1 species